AAACCAUGCUUAUGAAAUUUUUUAAGUAAUUCCUUAAAUCUUUCUCAAGCUUCGUACAUCAUUUCAUACUCUGAUUGUCGAAACUAUGUGAUGUCAAUUCUAAGAUU
rfam:Gossypium arboreum cultivar AKA8401 contig_58938_1, whole genome shotgun sequence.